CUAAGUUCAAAUAACCUCUAAUGGUGAAACCGCGAACGGCUCAUUAUAACAGCUAUUAUUUACUUGAUCUUGAUAUCCUACUUGGAUAACUGUGGUAAUUCUAGAGCUAAUACAAUGCAGCAAAGCUCCGAUUUUUGACGAGCGCAUCUAUUAGAUUAAAACCAAUCGGGUUUCGGCCCGUCAUUUGGUGACUCUGAAUAGCUAUGGCUGAUCGCAUGGUCUAGUACCGGCGACGUGUCUAUCAAGUGUCUGCCUUAUCAACUUUCGAUGGUAGUUUAUGUGCCUACCAUGGUUGUAACGGGUAACGGAGAAUAAGGGUUCGACUCCGGAGAGGGAGCCUGAGAAACGGCUACCACAUCCAAGGAAGGCAGCAGGCGCGCAAAUUACCCACUCUCGGCAUGAGGAGGUAGUGACGAAAAAUAACGAGACCGUUCUCUAUGAGGCCGGUUAUCGGAAUGGGUACAAUUUAAACCCGUUAACGAGGAUCUAUGAGAGGGCAAGUCUGGUGCCAGCAGCCGCGGUAAUUCCAGCUCUCAAAGUGUAUAUCGUCAUUGCUGCGGUUAAAAAGCUCGUAGUUGGAUCUGCGCCUCAGGACUCGGUCCGCCCGACUGGGUGUGAACUGGGCUCCUGGGCUAAUACUGCUGGUUUUCCCUGCGUUGCCUUCAUCGGUCGCGUAGGGUGGCUGGCGAGUUUACUUUGAAAAAAUUAGAGUGCUUCAAGCGGGCUAUUGUCUGAAUACUCGUGCAUGGAAUAAUAGAAUAGGAUCUCGGCACUAUUUUGUUGGUUUUCUGAUCUGAGAUAAUGGUUAAGAGGGACGGACGGGGGCAUUCGUAUCGCUGCGUGAGAGGUGAAAUUCUUGGACCGUAGCGAGACGUCCGACUGCGAAAGCA
rnacentral:rRNA from 1 species